GAUGAACGCUGGCGGUGUGCCUAAUACAUGCAAGUCGAGCGAACAGACGAGGAGCUUACUCCUCUGACGUUAGCGGCGGACGGGUGAGUAACACGUGGAUAACCUACCUAUAAGACUGGGAUAACUUCGGGAAACCGGAGCUAAUACCGGAUAACAUGUUGAACCGCAUGGUUCAACAGUGAAAGACGGUCUUGCUGUCACUUAUAGAUGGUCCGCGUCGCAUUAGCUAGUUGGUAAGGUAACGGCUUACCAAGGCAACGAUGCGUAGCCGACCUGAGAGGGUGAUCGGCCACACUGGAACUGAGACACGGUCCAGACUCCUACGGGAGGCAGCAGUAGGGAAUCUUCCGCAAUGGGCGAAAGCCUGACGGAGCAACGCCACGUGAGUGAAGAAGGUCUUCGGAUCGUAAAACUCUGUUAUUAGGGAAGAACAAAUGUGUAAGUAACUAUGUACGUCUUGACGGUACCUAAUCAGAAAGCCACGGCUAACUACGUG
rnacentral:rRNA from 1 species